rnacentral:other from 1 species
GUGGCACUGAGACGUUGGUGACUGCCAAUAAUGUUUUGUGAUCUAUGCCUUUUUAAAAAAGGGAGUCUGAUAGAUCUAGUGGCAGUAGACCGGCCUAGUAGCCGGAAACUUUAAGCUGGACAAAUGAUUCCCACCUGGUUUUCCAGGUCAAAAACUGAGGUAAGACGGCGUCUCGGUGAACCU